UCUGUAGGCGGUGCGGCAAGUCGGGAGUGAAAUCUCUGGGCUUAACUCAGAGACUGCCUCCGAAACUGCCGUGCUGGAGUGCGGGAGAGGUGAGUGGAAUUGCAGGUGUAGCGGUGAAAUGCGUAGAUAUCUGCAGGAACACCAGAGGCGAAGGCGGCUCACUGGACCGCAACUGACGCUGAGAGACGAAAGCUAGGGGAGCAAACAGGAUUAGAUACCCUGGUAGUCCUAGCCCUAAACGAUCAGGACUUGGCGUGGGCCCCGUACAGGGCUCGUGUCGGAGCUAACGUGUUAAGUCCUGCGCCUGGGGAGUACGGUCGCAAGGCUGAA
rnacentral:rRNA from 1 species